AAUGGGGGAAACCCUGACGCAGCGACGCCGCGUGGGUGAUGAAGGCCUUCGGGUCGUAAAGCCCUGUCGGGAGGGAAGAAAUGAUUGAGAGCUAAUACCUCUUGAUCUUGACGGUACCUCCGAAGGAAGCACCGGCUAACUCCGUGCCAGCAGCCGCGGUAAUACGGAGGGUGCAAGCGUUGUUCGGAAUUAUUGGGCGUAAAGGGCGCGUAGGCGGUCCUGUAAGCCCGGCGUGAAAACCUGGAGCUCAACUCCGGGCCNGCGCUGGGAUCUGCGGGACUAGAGUCAUGGAAGGGAAGUUGGAAUUCCAGGUGUAGGGGUGAAAUCUGUAGAUAUCUGGAAGAACACCGGUGGCGAAGGCGAACUUCUGGCCAAUGACUGACGCUGAGGCGCGAAAGUGCGGGGAGCAAA
rnacentral:rRNA from 1 species